AACGAACGCUGGCGGCAUGCCUAACACAUGCAAGUCGAACGAGACCUUCGGGUCUAGUGGCGCACGGGUGCGUAACGCGUGGGAACCUGCCCUUAGGUUCGGAAUAACUCCCCGAAAGGGGUGCUAAUACCGGAUAAUGUCUUCGGACCAAAGAUUUAUCGCCUUUGGAUGGGCCCGCGUUGGAUUAGCUAGUUGGUAGGGUAAAAGCCUACCAAGGCGACGAUCCAUAGCUGGUCUGAGAGGAUGAUCAGCCACACUGGGACUGAGACACGGCCCAGACUCCUACGGGAGGCAGCAGUGGGGAAUAUUGCACAAUGGGCGAAAGCCUGAUCCAGCAAUGCCGCGUGAGUGAUGAAGGCCUUAGGGUUGUAAAGCUCUUUUACCCGGGAUGAUAAUGACAGUACCGGGAGAAUAAGCGCCGGCUAACUCCGUG
rnacentral:rRNA from 1 species